CGCAUUCUUGAAAACUUAGAACUUCCUCCUGAAAAUGAAUCAACUCUUUGUGAGCUUUCUUAUGCUUUAAUUUCUGUGCCGAUUGAAAAACAGUGGAAUCUGAAGCACAAAGAUCUUUGGUGGAAAUAUAGGGAGCAUUUUGGAAAUAAAUUUCUUCCCCUCGACAUUCCAAAAAUUUCCGAGUCGUUAUUUGAUUCUUC